NNNNNNNNNNNNACAAGGUAGCAUUUUCCAAAUUUGAUGCCAAACCUUCUGUCAGUGGUGUCCCUACCCAGGGCAUUUGUGAUAGUAUGGGCAACAAGCCAAAGCAGUGUCCUGGAGCACACCUUUAGUCUGAGCAUUCAGGAGGCAGAGGUUAGAUCUGUUCUAACCAUUCAGGAGGGGUCUUUCUGGGUGAGUCUAAGCAGAGAAGAGAAGAGAAGAGAAGAGAAGAGAAGAGAAGAGAAGAGAAGAGAAGAGAAGAGAAGAGAAGAGAAGAGAAGAGAAGAGAAGAGAAGAGAAGAGAAGAAUCUCUGUGUAAUAAUUGAAAAGUCAUAGCAAAGGAUAACUGAAUUACACCUAUUGACAUGGGAAUAAAAGUUUUAAAUUA
rnacentral:lncRNA from 1 species